rnacentral:rRNA from 1 species
UACGUAGGGGGCAAGCGUUGUCCGGAUUUAUUGGGCGUAAAGAGCGUGUAGGCGGCUAGGUAGGUCCGUUGUGAAAACUCGAGGCUCAACCUCGAGACGCCGGUGGAAACCAUCUAGCUAGAGUCCGGAAGAGGAGAGUGGAAUUCCUGGUGUAGCGGUGAAAUGCGCAGAUAUCAGGAAGAACACCCGUUGCGAAGGCGGCUCUCUGGGACGUGACUGACGCUGAGACGCGAAAGCGUGGGGAGCGAACAGG